AGAGUUUGAUCCUGGCUCAGGACGAACGCUGGCGGCGUGCCUAAUACAUGCAAGUCGAGCGGACUUAAAAAGCUUGCUUUUUAAGUUAGCGGCGGACGGGUGAGUAACACGUGGGCAACCUGCCUGUAAGACUGGGAUAACUUCGGGAAACCGGAGCUAAUACCGGAUAAUCCUUUCCUACUCAUGUAGGAAAGCUGAAAGACGGUUUACGCUGUCACUUACAGAUGGGCCCGCGGCGCAUUAGCUAGUUGGUGAGGUAACGGCUCACCAAGGCGACGAUGCGUAGCCGACCUGAGAGGGUGAUCGGCCACACUGGGGCUGAGACACGGCCCAGACUCCUACGGGAGGCAGCAGUAGGGAAUCUUCCGCAAUGGACGAAAGUCUGACGGAGCAACGCCGCGUGAGUGAUGAAGGUUUUCGGAUCGUAAAACUCUGUUGUUAGGGAAGAACAAGUACGAGAGUAACUGCUCGUACCUUGACGGUACCUAACCAGAAAGCCACGGCUAACUACGUGCCAGCAGCCGCGGUAAUACGUAGGUGGCAAGCGUUGUCCGGAAUUAUUGGGCGUAAAGCGCGCGCAGGCGGUCCUUUAAGUCUGAUGUGAAAGCCCACGGCUCAACCGUGGAGGGUCAUUGGAAACUGGGGGACUUGAGUGCAGAAGAGAAGAGUGGAAUUCCACGUGUAGCGGUGAAAUGCGUAGAGAUGUGGAGGAACACCAGUGGCGAAGGCGACUCUUUGGUCUGUAACUGA
rnacentral:rRNA from 1 species